AAUGAACGUUGGCGGCGUGGAUUAGGCAUGCAAGUCGAGCGAGAACCCCGCAAGGGGGGACAGCGGCGCAAGGGACAGUAAUGUGUAGAUCAUCUGCCCUCAGGUCCGGGAUAGCUGCGGGAAACUGCAGGUAAUACCGGAUAACAUCUCCGGAUCAAAGGUGUGAUUCCGCCUGAGGAUGAGUCUGCAUCCUAUUAGCUAGUUGGCAGGGUAACGGCCUACCAAGGCAUUGAUGGGUAGCGGGUGUGAGAGCACGACCCGCGUCAUUGGGACUGAGACACUGCCCAGACACCUACGGGUGGCUGCAGUCGAGAAUCUUCGGCAAUGGGCGCAAGCCUGACCGAGCGACGCCGCGUGUGGGAUGAAGGCCUUCGGGUUGUAAACCACUGUCAGAGGGGAUGAAAUGCAGGUGGGUUCUCCCAUCUGUUUGACAUAGCCUCAGAGGAAGGACGGGCUAAGUUCGUGCCAGCCGCCGCUGUAACAC
rnacentral:rRNA from 1 species